rnacentral:rRNA from 11 species
AGUAAUGCUAAAUAUUUACUCUAAAAGCACCAAACCCUGUCUGAUCUUGACAGCUAAGUAGGACAAGCCUUGGUUAAUACUUGGAUGGGAGUUACCAACAAAAACCAGGUGUCAUUAGUU